UGCACUCCAGCAGCGUUGAGCGCUGUCCUUUCAGUUUGUCUUUUAAGGUGCACGCCGUGGUCCGUCGGCAGGGUCGUUGGGCAGUUCGCUCGCCCUCUCGGCCAUCAUUAGACAGCUGGUAACGGCUUUACGGGCUUUCCCUCGAGCAGUCGCGUCGCGACCACAGCCAUGUCGCGGGCGGCGGCACUCCGGCGAGCGACUGCCACAACAUCUGUGUUUGCAGUGCGCGGCGGGGGUAUGAUGCCUCUCGUGGCCCGGGUUUCUCUGCUAGUGCCAUCCAGAGAGCCUUUUGCUUGCUCGGGGUUGCGUGGCACAGCUGGCGAAACGGCGGGCGCUGCCCGGGAUCAGCGACGUGGACUCGUCAACUGCACGCGGGUGCUGUUCUUUGGAAGGAAGCGGAUGUUCUCCAAGAUCGAAGCUAUCACCCUGGACGCGGAGUUUCGAGCGCGCAUGAACGACCCUCUCGGCACGACAACGCUGGAGCUGAAUUUGCUGGAGGAUCCGACGGCCGGCCUCGCCACGGGCCCGGCGGAGGAGCUGACCCCGACCGAGCUGGAGACGCGAGUGCGGGUUCUCGUUUCUGGGUACACACCCUCCCUCUACCGACUCCUGUACACGCCUUUCGUGGAUGUGGUGGCGCUGUUGGUGAAAGAGGGGCUGGCUCCGACGGCAGACGCAGAGAUUCUGCAGAGCAGCAGCCCAAGCGGCAGCAACAGCGGCAGUGUAGCCACCACCGGUGGAGGUGUGGGCACUGGAACCGUGUCUACCAGCCUCCGACCGGUGCGACCGGAAGAGAUCAUGGCGCGCUGGUUUACGGAUGGACCUGCCACGCUCAAACUGCCUCACGCCACCGCGGAGGCGAUGGGCAAGCGACGAUGGAACGCAUUUUGCCGCGCACUGGAGGCACACUGGGCCACUUUCGAGGACGUGAUGCCGCUCACGCGCGUCGUACAGCGCCACAAUCUGCGCGAAGAGCUCUAUAUCCCGCUGUUUCGGCAGCUCGCGAUGGAGCUCGUUGACCCGACGAAGCGCGCCUCUGCCGUGGCAACGCUGCCCGGGAUUAUCUUGAGCCUUGCCAACGGUCGCGCGCCGCGAUCGCUGGGGCUGCCCGAGAGUGACACAGAGCGCGUGAGGCUUGUGUCGAAUCUGUUUCUCGGGGUGGCGCAGGAGACAGGAAACACGGAUCUCGCCUACCUCUCUGUGCAGCUGCUGCGCGCCAACGAUCUGCCCACACCUUUCUCAGCGCAGAAGCAGAUCACCAACGUGUUUGCGGCCGCCUCCCGCAUUGAAACGGAUUGGCAGAUGCGAGCGACGAGUCUGCUGAUCGAGUCGUACCCCAAGUGGCUCGAGUACUAUAAGCGUGUGCAGCUUGACAACAAGGUGGCGCUGGAGGCCCUGUCGCGCGGACCGGUGCCAAAUACCAGCAACGAGAGCGCCGGGGCGGAAGGGGGUGACGUGACGGCUGCCGCAUCACGUGCGCCGAGGAAAGAGUCCUACGCCCUCGACAAACACCACGGCAAGCGAUCCAAAGGCCGCACUGCGGACUCUGACAUGAAUGGCGAGGCAGCCGAUAGCUCUCUGGAAGACACCGAAGAGCGGUCGACGGAGCAGUACCGGUACUUUACCAGUCGCCAGCAGGACGAUGUCACCCGCGUCACGGCACUCGAAGAGAACAUCGAAGCCGCGCUGCGCAGUCGAGCCUCGGAGCUGCGCGAAGUUCCCGUGAAUCGCCGUCGCAAGAAAAGCAAGGAGGAGACUGCGCCGGCAGCAGCCAGCAGCUUGGCCUCCGAGGACUCAACGGCGAUGCCUGCUUCACCAUCUGAACCUCCUCUUAGCCCUUCAAGGUCUUCUCGAGACUCCAACCGUGCCGAUCGCAGCAGAGAAGGCGUCGGCGGCGACGCAGGGGUGCAGAGUCUGAGCAUGGAGGGUGGAGCUCAUCCUAAGGACGAGGUCGCAUCAUCAAACCCAAAGGGCGCUUCUUCUAGUAAAACGGAGCUGCCCACCGACUCCGCUAAUCCCCUUGCCCCCCGACGUCGCGGCAAACCUGCGGCAUUCAAGCCCGCAGGUGCCUCCCGCGACGGCGGCCGUGGUGCCGCGGCCAAGGUGGACGAGAUUUUUGACCUGUAGGGUAUCCACACAGUUGUGUCGGCGUUACAGGGAGGGGGUGUAGGCCGGGCGACGGCGCUGUGGGGAUGAUUGUGUCGGGUUGCUGCUGCCGACGCAGUCGAUAUCGGCAAAGGGUGACCGGGAUGGAAGAGGGUGAGGGAAGGUGCGGGUGCCAUGAAGGCACGGUGACGGCGCUGCCAUCACCGCUACCCACUAGGUUCUCUUGGAUGCUUCAGUCCUCCACGACAUAAUGCGCAGGUGUGCCAGCAUGCUUGCUCCGCCUUGCUUUCCUGAUUAACUGUUGCCAGUUCCUUUUGGGGAUGCUCUCUUUCUCACACGCGCACACUCCUUUACAACCACGCCCGCACACUGACACGGUGGCGCGGCAGUCACGGCGUUGCACCCACUUCCGUCCCUUUUCUGGGCGCUCGCGCUGCUUCUACUUUCCUUCGCUAUCUGCGACGCUGGAGUGUUGCUUUUCGGUGUUUCAUGCAGCGAUGCGCUAAGCGCGCAACGAAGUGCCCCACCGCCAUUCUCCCGAUCCAGGUCAUCCCUCUGCGUGCGCAUCGGGUGAGCACAACCUUACAUGAAACCCGUGCAUUCAUACUCCGCUAUCUCUCCUCCCCAACUCCAACCGCCGUUGCGCCCAUCCUCACUCCUCUCCCCGCAAAUCACCUCCAUCGUUUCUAACACGGAUCUGUCUCUGCCCCUCUUGGCACGUGCGCGCGUGCGUGCUCGUCUGCUCUCCUACUCGCCGACUCUUCGCACGCUGUCCACAAUGGCGAGCUCCAUGGCUGCAUGGGACACGGCCAG
rnacentral:misc_RNA from 1 species